GCCGUGCAAUAUGCGACUUGUAUUUGACAAGAGAGCAGAGAGAAACCUAUAACCUAUAACCUAAAUUUUGAUUACAUCAAGUUCCCAAAUAUUAAAGAAAAAAGCACGAGCUUGAACCAUCCAAAAGAAGGAAAGUAAAACAUUACAAAAGAGUACCAGUACCAGUACUAAAGAGAGGAGCAAACUAAGUACUUGGUGUGAGGAAAGUACACGUUUAUUAUUAGAUAAAUAUGAGCAAUAUUUACCUGUAGUUGGGCCAAUGAAACAAUUUAAAUGUAAAAAAUCAAUGUGGAUACAAAUAUCAAAUGAUAUCGCAACAGAAUUAAAUAUUGUACAAAGCAGUGUGCAAUGUGAAAAUCGUUAUAAAACUAUUUUAAAACGUAAAAUGCAAUCUGUUAGAGGCAAUCAACAAUCAGGUGCAAAACGAACAAAAGUGGAAUUCGAAGAUGAAUUAAACAAGAUAAAGGCUAUUUAUUGAUGAUAGUGUAGAACCUGAGAUAUUGCAAAGUUCAGGAAAACUCAUUGAAAAACAUAAAAAAAUAAUGAAUAAAGAAAAUACAAUGAAUUGUAGAGUCGAGAAGACAACAAAAAAAAGUCUAUAAGUGAAAACAAAGUUACAAGUAUUUCACUUUUGUUCGUUUUGCAUGCAUUCCUGAUUGUUGAAAGUUUAAGUAGUUACAAGUCGUUUCUUCUCUAUAGUUUAAGUAGUUACAAGUCGUUUAUUGCACAUUCAAAAUGAUAAAGAGGAAAAAAAAGAAAAGAGACAUAAAGAAAAACUAGAAAUACUACGUAACUUUAUGACAAUCUUUUCAAAAAGCAAUGAUACGAUUGAUUCAGAUGGUGAAUAGAAACAGAGUGUACUUUUCUUACUUGACUUUGAAAUGCUUUAAUUAUGUCUAAAAAUUUAAGUAGAUACAAAUUCUAAAACUUUUAUUAUAGUUUAAAAUACUCCACUUUUGUUUGUUUCUUCUCCAAAGUUACAAGUAUUGUUUUGUUUGUUUUGCAUGCAUUCCUGAUUGUUGAAAGUUUAAGUAGUUACAAGUCGUAGUUUAAAUAACACAAAAGACUUAUUAUAUGUUACUUAAAUCACAUUAUGUGAUAUAAAGAGUGCUUAUAUAUAUAUAUGCAAUUGUUAUAUAAUGUAAAAAAUAAUUUAUG